AGGGAAUAGAUACCCCGGUAGUCCAUGCUGUAAACGAUGGAUGCUAGCUGUGAUGCGUAUCGACCCGCGUCGUAGCGAAGCUAACGCGUUAAGCAUCCCGCCUGUGGAGUACGGCCGCAAGGCUAAAACAUAAAGGAAUUGACGGGGACCCGCACAAGCGGUGGAGCGUGUUGUUUAAUUCGAUGGUAAGCGAAGAACCUUACCCAGGUUUGACAUCCUUGGAAGUUCUGCGAAAGCAGAGUGUGCCUUCGGGAACCAAGUGACAGGUGAUGCAUGGCCGUCUUCAGCUCGUGUCGUGAGACGUUAGGUUAAGUCCUUCAACGAGCGCAACCCUUAUAGUUAGUUGUAUUUUCUAGCUAGACUGCCCUGGUAACAGGGAGGAAGGAGGGGACGAUGUCAGGUCAGUAUCUCCCUUAUAUCUGGGGCUACAACACGCUACAAUGGCCGGUACAAGGGAAGCUAACCCGCGAGGGGAGCAAAUCCCAUCAAAGCCGGUCUCAGUUCGGAUUGUAGGCUGAAACUCGCCUGCAUGAAGCU
rnacentral:rRNA from 1 species